CAUUGAUACCAGAGUUAUGAUGUUGUCCAUUCCUACACGGAGGCUGGACAAGCUACUGUCGUCUGUCCGAUAUCUGUUAGAUCAUCCAGAUGUCUUUGAGAUUGCGUACGCUGAUGACAUUCAUAGCCUUUCAGGCCCAGGCAGAGAGUUGGUCAUUGUAUGGCUCGGUGCCAUGAGAGCAGC